GGUUAAGGUUUGCACAUGGAGACAUAGACCGCUGUGUAUUGCGAUACUGCGAUCUUUACUAAAGUUGGUAUAACCAGAGAAGCAAGCAGUCGGCAACAUUCAUCUCUCUCGGGGGUGUCUAACUUGGUGUUACGGUGUGUUUAACCCUAAAUUAAUCUUAUGCUGGAAUAUCCCUUUAAAGACGCCAGACUCCAUAUGAACUAUAAACACACACCAUACUCCUACAUGUGCCAUCCUGCAGCAUAAAAGCACUAUAUUCACUUUACCUGAGCACGUUUGAGUCAAGUCAAAAGUCUGUCCAUGUAAAAUGAAGCAGAAUUUAAGUACAACAUAGCAUAUUACUUAAAUACUCCAACCCUAUCUUUACAUGAUCACAUCGUCUCCAAAUAGGAAACAAAUUUUGCAGAGAAAGUGUAAAAACAUCCAUGGUAUAAGUCUGAAUGUCAGAGUAAAGCAUAUUAGAGUAUUGACAGGCCUGUUUGUUCAGUCUGUGCCGUAAACCACAGGAUGCAGGUCGAUAAUGGGUUAUAAGCUGCAUCACAUUUUGAGUAAUUUACUGUAUGAAAAGCACUCAGGUUGAUGUAUAAUUGAUGCCUAAGAAUUUAUAGAUAACGCGCUCAUCCUCUCUUGUGCUGAUUUGCUUGUAUUUUAAUACGAGGGCUAAACAACAUGGACUCAUUGCUCAAGGCAGCUGCUUGGCGCUGAUCCAGUUUUCACCACAGAGGGAAGAGCGAGACAGAGAUAAAGGAGAGGGUGGAUCAAUGCAGGGUGGAGAGACACGCUGUGUAAUGUGGAGCGGAUUUAUAAUACAGUUUUUAACAGCAUCACACAGAGAAAGAUUGUGUUUCCUGAAAGGGGAGGAUAUUUUCCGUCUGUGUUCUCAUCUCGUUACUCAUAAACAUCGAGUUUCUUCGUCUGGUUAUUUAAACCAUAAAUACUGAUGAUGAGGAGCCUCUGACUUAGUUUCUGCUUUUCUAACAGGGAUUUAAUGACCAGAUAAAUCACUUUCAAGAACAUUAAUAUCAGCAUCUCAAGAGUCUCCCUGAGAAGUUAAUUCAAUAUUACAUGAUUACAGAAACACCCAACUUUGCUUUCCUGUCAAAAUUUUAAUGGAAGAAGUUGACAUCAGAAGAUUCAGCUCGUGGUCAUUAGAUACAGAGCGAGAGCUAAAAGAUAUCUCCCUAGAUGGACAAUCAGUGAGUUUACAUGCACAGUCAGAUUAGAGGAUUAAACUGGACUUCGGUCUUUAUCUCAGUUUACAUGCAAUGGGCAAAAGUUGAAUUAUUGACCGGCGCAUGUCCACCUCUGCGACAGUAGGUGGCGACAUGCUAUUGCUAUUGGGUUGUCCUGUGGUUAAAGUAUUACAUACAUAGACUGUAUAUAGAAUGGACGCUGUUUGCCUUCUAGCUGGGUGAAGCCACAGCGAGAACAGCACCCUCUGGUGACGGGCUGCAGUAUAGAUCAUAAAUCCUGCCUCCUCCAGCAAUCCCUAUGGAGCUGUGGACAAACUUUAGAAAUUAAUCACACAGAAUGUUAAUUUUUAUCCCCCCUGAUUGCGAUGUUGACAUGUAGUUACUUUAACACUGGUUUGUGCUCAAGUCCUCUUUUUUCUGUAAAGCUCAAUUUUUAAAAGUUAUUAGGGGUUCAUGUUUUCUAUGAUUGACACUUGAAACAGCCUAUGGGCGUACAAGAUUGCGUAGCUCACCUGGGGGAUACACUGUUUUAGCCACAAGUGGUGGUUCCAGGAAGAGGAGAAAAUCACAGAAAUACUGAGAGCAAUUCGGCUUCAAAUUCAUAUAAUGACGGAAGGUGGAGCCAAGUUGUCCAUAGCAUAUAAAGUCUAAGAUUAUACAUCAAAACACUUGGCAUUGUGUUAGCAAGAGGCUAACGGGAUGAUCAAAACAUUGUCAUUUUUAAAGCUCUGUACUAUUUGUCUUUGCAUUAGGAAAUUUCCAUAUUUUAAAUGUCCUUAAUUCAUCUGUUGAGUUCUUUUUUUUGUACUUAGCUUUCUAGCAACGCAUAUUUCAUUCAUUCAUUGAUUUCAGCAAUGUGCAGUUUCUAUACAGCUGUUUAGCUCUUCUUUAAGUUUGCAUUAAAAAAACAUAUUUUCUGCAACACAUUCUGUUGAUUGAAAAGCUCAGUGUUUCUGUUUGGAUGCGUUAAAUCCUAGUCAUCUUUUUUUUACAGUUUUUUUAAGGCUUUCUUGCACAUGCCACUUUGAAGCAUGUUUCUGUUCGUUGCCAGCAGAGUAAAGUCACGAGUGCAGGCACUGUCAAGCAGUACAAAGCCAAUAUGAGCAAUGAAUUGUUUUAUUUGCAGGCUGCGACUUGCCUUUUUUUCACUGUCUCUGAGAGGAAGCUCAAUCCAAACAGUUGGACGGCUCUUCAAAUGGCUCCAGACUCAACAUCAGGGCCAAAGUGAAUGACCCAGCUGAGAUCUUAUCCUCAUUCUUGACUGUUACAUGUGGUCUUUGUUUAGUUGUGCCACUCCCAACAAAACAGCCGCUCCUUUUUGCUCCUCGGUAGAAGUGGGGCAAGUGCAAAUCCAUGAAAUAUGUAAAGGGUAAAUCUUAAGCCUGCCCGUCAUUUUCAGCUGCCUAGGGACCAGGAAGAUUAGGGUUAAGAGGAGGAAGAGGGUGGAUGAACAAAUACUCCAUCAGUCAUUACUGCUGCUGACCCAGAUUCAGGUCUCUGUGUAAAACUUCCAUGCAGUUUUGGGCGUUUUUCCCCUCUUACGUGCAUCCUUUACACCUAUGUUAUGUCUGUUUUCAACACCUUCAGACCUGAAUGCGGUAAAAAUGUGAUUAUCAUCAUGUAGCCCUCUGAUUUUAAGGAUUACUGAUUGAAUAUCUUACAUUUUAUGUUUGAGAAUCUCCGUCAUGACUCCAUUUUGAGUCAAUUUUGCUUGACUUUGAACCUCACAGCCCUAAAUGAUCAACAUGGCUGAGAAAUACACUCAGGAAUCACCAGAGCUGACAGGGGAGAAAUAGCUAAUCUUUAGUGGACAAUAAUUGAAUCAUUGCAUGAUUAAUAAUUGAAAAGAGAAAAAGAAGAGUGAGGCAGCAUCUUCAGUCAGACUCAGACAGCUUAAGUUAUUCAGAGUCUCUCUGGGGCUGCUAAAGACCUCUGCUGCUGUGGAGAGAAUUUUAACAGAAGAGAUGGUGAAGUGGUCUGUGAGCUGCUCUGGUGUCAUUACAUUUAUUUCAGUUUGCAAAUUAGUUGCAUUUGUAUGUAAGGUAGUAGUUUGUAAUUUGAUUUUUUUGCAAAAAGAGUCGAGUGCAUGGUCAUUUCUGAACCUUUAGUGCAGCCAUGUUUGCAGGAUGAACAGAAUAUGACAGUGUAGUUUGCCUCACAUAGCUGCUCCUGCUCCUUUUUAUUCUUGUUUUUAGCUUUUUUUUUUUGUCUGACACACCAUCUUCCAUGAGCACUCUCUGGAAUGUAUAGUAGUCGACACUUAGAUCUUAAUCUCUGCUAAUCUUCCUAAAAACCCAUCUAAUUCUAAAAAGUAAUCUUAUCUCAUGUCUCAGUUCAGAAUACUGUGAAAUAUCAGAUUUUCCAGUUGAAGCUAAAAUAUUAAAAAGUCAUCAUGUUUCAUUUGCAGCAAAGACUCACAAGCACAGCUAUCUCAUACCAAGAGGGGGGUUCACUUCACGUGGUGGGUGGGCGAUUGCUCGAAGCACGACCAUUGAAAGACAGGAGACAUGGGAGUAAGAGCAAGAAAGAGAAAAUACAGGGACAAAAAAAUACAGAAAGAAAAAAAGUGGAAACCCCAAAGAGUGGUGGAGAAAUUUCAGAGAUACUGAGAGAAGCUUUCUUUCUUUCAAGGACUGCUGUCUCAACAGAGAGACCCAAAACACAAAGAAGGAGCUGUAUUUUCUGCUUAACAUUUUUUAACAACAUGAGUUUUCAUGAUGGAGUAAUAAAACUACUGUAAAUAAUAUAUGAUAAAGAGAGUUUGUAAAAAAAGACGUGCCAUUAUGAAGAGGUUUCAGCAUAUUCUGUAAAUUUACAGUGACAUUGGCGAUACAUCAAGACUUCAAGUUAUUAAACCAUUAACCAGUGUCAUAACCUGACACGCCAGACAGACUGUUUUACAUAUCCAUGACAUGGGAUGUAUUUCACAUCCAUCUCGGCAAUACCCUAUGAGCAGUGUUUGAGAAAGGCAGAGUCCUCAAAAACAAACCAAAUGAGUUAUUAUGAGUGAAUCAGAGCAUAAAACGUAGUCGGCAAAUGCUGCUGUGGUGGGAUGUAAAGCCAAGUCCUCAAAUGAACCGACUAUUGCUGCGUUCGAGUUACCUUGGAAGUCAGAUGUCGGAGCAGAAAAUGAUGUCACUCCCGAGUCACCAGCGUUUCAGUUACCAAGUCAGAAAAAAGGAAAAAUCGGAGGUGGAAACAAGAUGGCUAAAUCUACGAAAGUUAUUUUAUUGCUUGCCUUGUCCGAAUAUAACAAGGACAAGGUAAGCAAUAAAAUAACUUUGGUAGAUGUACCCAUUUUGUUUCCAUCUCUGAUUUUGCUUUUUUCUGACUUGGUAACUGAAAUGCUGGUAACUCAGGUGUGACGCCAUUUUCAGCUUUAACAUCUAACUUCCGAGGUAACGCGAGCGCAGCAUAUUGCCUUCCAGCUCCAGUCCUCUCUGCCUCAGUUGUAAAAUCGAAGUAUCACAGCCGUUUUUCUUUCUUGUCUUUUAGGCAAAUGUCAACUUGAUAAUAAAGACAACCCCAGUUAUGGUUUGUAGUUGAGGUUUCGGAUGGGAGGAUGAGUCUCUGGUCUUGAUCAACUCAUAUUUCCCAGUCCUUUGUUGCAUCCAGUUGACUUGCGUUAGAAGGCAGAUUGGUUAGCCUGUUACCUCCUCCUUUAUUAGAUGAAGGAUGAUUGGUGGGUGACUGGUUUUCUUGUCAGAAAUGUGAUGGUCUCACAACUGACUGAGGGUUAUUAGAACCAGACUUUGGAGACAGGUUCCAUGUUCUGAGAGCUAAAGGAGUUUGAACUUUAUGUGGCCCCGAUGAAAAAGUAAAGUCUGUCAGUUCCCAUGAUCUAAAGCAUAUUCCAUGUGGUUUUCAUCCCCUCUUUGCAAUCUCUCCUCAUCUUUGGACCCCACCUGGCACUUAUGGCCAAGGACUUCUUCCUUACAAGAAUUCUUCUCAAGGUUUCAUUUAAGUAGUUUUUGAUUUGAUCCCAGGAUAUCGCCUCCUGUAUCUUGGAGGACAUGACCUGUUAUAUCAAGGUGUAAAGGUAGGUCUUUACAUCAAGCACUGCGGCCACCAAUGUCCAUUUCCUCCCUGUCAUUAGGAUUGGAACUCUGCCUCUUACCAAGGGAGGGGAUUAAGUUUCAGUUGCACAGAGGGUUGAUGUAACCCUUUGAAAUGGUCAGCUCUUCUUAAUACUUUUAUAAAUAAUGUGGUACGAGAACAAAAGAAAAGCUCUAGAGAAAAUCUAGGCUGUGAGGAAAAAGGAGUAUUUUAGCUUUUUAAGUUGAUCAUGAUUUGGAGCUACCAGAAUUGAAGGUAGGGUAGGCAGGAUCUGAGGAAGUGUUUUGGGAGAAAUCUUGAAUGUACACGCUUCCCGUAGCGUCCCCUAUCAUUGUUGACAAGGCUUUUUAGCUCUUGUCCGGUCUACCUCCCUUUUAAGCGCCCAUUAUUCCGCCAGAGUCUCCGGUAUUUACUUAGUUCUCUUGCUUGUGUUGGCAGUCGUGGUCAAAGGAGGAUUCAGACAAUUUUCCGUACUUUAUGGUUGGUGUCUACUGUCCGAUAUUGUAGCACGCUAACUUUGUUUGGGCUUGUGUACGACUCGGGGAAGCAGUCUCUGCCUCACUACCAAUCAGUACUAAGGAGUAGCGACCGCCUCACAACCGAUCAGGUCGGGGAGGUGAAGAAUGGCGUCGUUUACAGUCAGAAAGAGCGGGCCACUUAAAAGUUUUUAAAUGUUGACUACACAGACAUAACAAAACACAGCGAUAUCGUUAUAUUCCCAAAUAACAUCAAUAACUAUUGACUGAUAUUAAAAGCUUUUUUGUAUAUACACUACAAAAAAAGAUGCUUCUUUAACGGAUUUCUGCCUACCCCACCUAUAAAGUGGCAUGUUAGCAGUGUUGCCUAACUGCAAGAGGUUCCCGAGUUCAAAUGGCUUGGUGCCGUUCUGCCUGGAGGCUUGGCGUACCAGCUGAAAGCCAAGCCUUUAAUGUAAGCCUACAUGACUGCAUGACUUUAGGAGUUCCAUUCAAAAGCAGCGCAAGGCCACCUCUAGAUCCGCCCCUGCUGGGAUGACAGUUGGGGACCCUUGCGGUCUUGAGGCCCCACUUUGGAGCACUCCUGCAACACACAGCGCG
rnacentral:lncRNA from 1 species